ACUUCACCUACCUGCCCGAAUCCACCAUAAACUAUUUCGUAACGGCACACAUUCCAACCUUUCCCACUUUUUACAAAGAAGUACUUUCUAAAGCGCUUCUAUGGAAACGGCAAAUAAGCGGAACGAUCUCCUCUUUUAAACUUUUACGAGUGUUGUCCUCUUAUUAUUAUCGGUCAGAUAAAACGUCUAUUGCGAUAAGGGACUCGUAAUUGGUUUGAUUCGUAAAAAUGAAAUUAGUCCUUGAUCACGUUGGUUGUCUUGCAUCAGCAAGAUAUGCCGUUUCUGAGAAAUCGUCCGAUAUUGUCUGGAAGGGUGACUAUCAUCAGUAUACGUACUUUUGUUGUCGACCAGGUUCGAACUCCAAUCCCAGCCCCGUCAAAUCGUGUCCAUACAAGCUGCAUAAUUGGCAAUGAAAUGACUUCGCAGCUACAGAAGAUCAAUUGUGGAACGAGGCGGAUGAAUAACAACAAUGGGCCUAGUACUGAUCCCUGUGGAAUACCUUUUCUAACCAAUCACGAAAUCUGAAUCGGUGAGGCUGUAGGAUGAGUGGAUGACGCAGCUAUCAUUCUUAAAAAGUUUCAGUUGUUUGUACACGGCUAAUUAUAAUUAUGCAAGAUAAGCAUUUAUGCAUAUUACAAUACAGUAUAUUAUUCUGCAAGUA